UACGGAAGGCAGCAGUGGGGAAUAUUGCACAAUGGGCGCAAGCCUGAUGCAGCCAUGCCGCGUGUAUGAAAAAGGCCUUCGGGUUGUAAAGUACUUUCAGUCGUGAGGAAGGUGUUAAGGUUAAUAACCUUAGCAAUUGACGUUAGCGACAGAAGAAGCACCGGCUAACUCCGUGCCAGCAGCCGCGGUAAUACGGAGGGUGCGAGCGUUAAUCGGAAUUACUGGGCGUAAAGGGCACGCAGGCGGUUAAUUAAGUUGGAUGUGAAAUCCCCGGGCUUAAACCUGGGAAUGGCAUUCAAGACUGGUUAGCUAGAGUCUUGUAGAGGGGGUAGAAUUCCAUGUGUAGCGGUGAAAUGCGUAGAGAUGUGGAGGAAUACCGGUGGCGAAGGCGGCCCCUGGACAAAGACUGACGCUCAUGUGCGAAAGCGUGGGGAGCAAACAGGGAUUAGAUA
rnacentral:rRNA from 1 species